rnacentral:lncRNA from 1 species
UUUAUCAACUAGCAAGCCUUUUCCUGUGCCUCUGUCUUUUUUCGGAAGCUCCAGAUUCCCACCCUCCUCUAAGGAUCCCAGCUAGCCCAGCUUCCCACCAAUGGACACUUUACAGCCAUAAGCCUAUUGAAUAAAUGUGGUUGUCUAUGAUGCUAAUGAUAAGUGGCUGACUUGUUAUUUCCUGCCAGAUUUCCCACUGUCAGUUGGAUUUAUGUUCUUCUGGAUCUGACCCUCCUUCUGAUGUCUCCAUGAUUUCCUGUUUCUGGGAACCAUAGAAGGCAAACACAAGCGGCAGUGGUGAGAAACAACCCUUCAGCCAAAUGAAGCUCCAAGCUUGUUUGUACAGUUAUUUGCACGUCAUCUCCCCCAUUAGAUGCAAACCAACAACAAAUCUAAUUAUGUCACAGAAAAAGCACAGAACUUCAUGGUGGAUCCAGGAGAGCCCAACAGUAGAAAGAAGUAAAACAGAGAUACCAGUUUCAGUGAGGAUUAGGCCCAGCAACCCAAACAUAGAUGUUAUAUUCAACAAAGAGGAGGCUUAAUGAACUCAGCAGAAUAACUUGCCCAGAAGAGGUUAUUGGCCUGGCAGAAAUUCAAGGAUCAUGCAGAAUUCUAAUCCAGGAAUUCAUACACCUGAAGGAAAUACAGCUGAGUACCAAGACUGUAAAGGAGCAUCAUGAACCACAGCCGCUCCAUCUAGUACAUGAAGGCACGGGCUUUUCAUCCUUCUUGUCACAACCCUCAUACCAGGAUCGAGGACUGGCCCUGCUUUUGUUGUUCUCGGGAGGUACUUUCAAGAGAGAGCCAUGAACAUCUUCCAUUGCUGAGAGAUGCCAGAUCCGCAGUCAUUUCAUUUUGUCCUAAGCUAAAUGGGAAUGUUCUGCUCACCCUUUUCCCUGUGUUGAUGUCUGAAGAGAAAUUAUGCCAAAAGUAGUGUCCAAAGGACAUAAAACUUGUCUCGGCUGGGCCUACCUUCUGAAUCCUGUUUUUCAGCACACGGCGUUUCUUACCAUAAAAAGCUAAGAAGUUGGAAGUCCAUAUGGUGUGGUAAGUGACAUGUCAUGUGUUUUCUUUCUGGUAUCUGAUUAAUCCUUGUUUUGUAAGAAGGCCCUGAGAGCUACUUAGUUCUUUCUGGGAACAUGGAUAACUAUCACAUUUGGCAAUCCACUCUCUCCAGAAU